rnacentral:rRNA from 1 species
AUGGGCAAAGAUGCCGGCGGCGACGGGCUGGAGGUGCCGCUGCUGAAGCGGACGUACUACCACGGCAACUGCCCCGGGUGCAGGCUGGAGAAGAGGAACGAGACGCGGAGGGGCGUGCCCUACACAGAGUUCGCCUGCAUGUGGCUCGUCACCGUCUGCUCUACCUUGCCGAUUCAAUCAUUGUUUCCCUUCUUGUAUUUUAUGAUAAGGGAUCUGCACAUUGCUAAGCAAGUAGAAGAUAUUGGAUUUUAUGCUGGUUUUGUUGGCGCUUCAUAUAUGCUUGGUAGAGCACUCACCUCUACAGUAUGGGGAAUUGUGGCCGAUAAGCAUGGGAGGAAACCUGUUCUUGUAAUUACCCUUAUUGCAGUAAUUACCUUGAAUACACUAUUUGGACUCAGCUCUAGUUAUUGGAUGGCAUUAACCACAAGAGGUUUGCUUGGGUUGUUGUCUGGUAUGCUGGGGCCAAUUAAGGCUUAUGCUACAGAAGUAUGCCGGAAAGAAUACAGUCACCUCGCAUUAUCACUUAUUUCUUCCUCACGUGCCAUAGGCCUCAUUGUUGGUCCAGCCAUUGGUGGUUAUCUUGCACAGCCAGCAGAUAAAUAUCCAGGUAUGUUCUCUCAGGAAUCUAUAUUCGGGAGGUUUCCAUAUUUUCUCCCAUGCCUGUGUAUAUCAAUCCUCGCCGUUGCUGCUUUAAUUUCUUGCAUAUGGCUUCCGGAAACUUUGCAUAAACACAAUGAAGCCACAGAUUCAAAUAAUUCAAUUGAAGCCAUGGAGGAAUCUCUUUCUGACUCUAAUGCUGAAGAAAGCAGUGGUGGAUAUUGGAGUUUGUUCACAAACUGGCCAUUGAUGUCCGCUAUCACCGUAUAUUGCCUUUUCUCUCUUCAGGAUGUGGCUUAUGCAGAGGUAUUCUCUCUUUGGGCUGUUAGUGACAGGAAAUAUGGUGGAUUAAACUUUACUUCUACAGAUGUGGGCAGUGUCCUAGCACUCUCAGGUCUCUUCCUCCUAAUAUACCAGAUUUUGAUUUAUCCAUCGGUUGCAAAAGCUAUAGAACCUAUCACAUUAGUCCGUGCAACUGCGAUCUUGACAUUACCACUUCUUGCAAGCUAUCCAUUCAUGACUACAUUAUCAGGGUUCAAUCUUCAGUUGGUAGUAAAUUGUGCAUCUUCUCUGAAGAAUUCCUUCCAAGUAACUACCAUCACGGUGUGCAAUAUUUUGAUGAAUGAUGCUGUGAGUCAAGACCUAAGAGCAUCGGCCAAUGGACUUUCUGUAACACUAAUGUCCAUCUUCAAAGCUGUCGCUCCGGCUGUUGCCGGUGUUAUAUUUUCAUGGGCUCAAAGGCGCCAAACUGCUUCAUUUCUUCCAGGCGACCACCUUGUAUUUUUCAUGCUUAACGCGGCCACCGUCGUCGGUCUUAUGUGCACCUUCGGACCACACUUUGCUAGGGGCAGCAUGAAGCAUUGA